UCAAGUUUCGCCACACGAUAAUGUGGUACGCGCGCUCGAGGACAAGAAUAUUGUUUAUAUACCUAACGCAAUAUCAUGACAUCGCUACACGGAUUCCUCCCAAUGCAAUCUUUCAAAUUCACCAUCUGCUUUCAUCAUGAUAUGAGCAAAAAGUUCAGAUUUCAAGUUCCAAAUUUCAAGUUCCAGAAACUUGCAAAAUGUAGAUAGAGUAUGCGGCCUCACAAAUUGCGGUAGCUGGA